rnacentral:rRNA from 1 species
GAUGAACGCUAGCGAUAGGCUUAACACAUGCAAGUCGAGGGGUAACGUGUUGGAAGCUUGCUUCCGAUGACGACGACCGGCGGAUGGGUGCGUAACGCGUAUGCAACUUGCCUCACAGUGGAGAAUAACCCGGAGAAAUCCGGACUAAUACUCCAUACACUCUUAAGUACGCCUGUACAUGAGAGGAAAGAUUUAUCGCUGUGAGAUAGGCAUGCGUCCUAUUAGGUAGUUGGUGAGGUAACGGCUCACCAAGCCGACGAUAGGUAGGGGUGCUGAGAGGCAGAUCCCCCACAUUGGGACUGAGACACGGCCCAAACUCCUACGGGAGGCAGCAGUGAGGAAUAUUGGUCAAUGGAGGAAACUCUGAACCAGCCAAGUCGCGUGAAGGAAGAAUGUCCUAAGGAUUGUAAACUUCUUUAGCGAGCGAGUAAGGACUUCCACGUGAUGGGAGUUUGAAAGUAGCUCGAGAAUAAGUAUCGGCUAACUCCGU